rnacentral:rRNA from 1 species
AAAACUUUCAACAACGGAUCUCUUGGUUCUGGCAUCGAUGAAGAACGCAGCGAAAUGCGAUAAGUAAUGUGAAUUGCAGAAUUCCGUGAAUCAUCGAAUCUUUGAACGCACAUUGCGCCCCUUUGGUAUUCCGAAGGGCAUGCCUGUUCGAGCGUCAU